ACAGAUGGGAGCUUGCUCCCUGAUGUUAGCGGCGGACGGGUGAGUAACACGUGGGUAACCUGCCUGUAAGACUGGGAUAACUCCGGGAAACCGGGGCUAAUACCGGAUGGUUGUUUGAACCGCAUGGUUCAGACAUAAAAGGUGGCUUCGGCUACCACUUACAGAUGGACCCGCGGCGCAUUAGCUAGUUGGUGAGGUAACGGCUCACCAAGGCAACGAUGCGUAGCCGACCUGAGAGGGUGAUCGGCCACACUGGGACUGAGACACGGCCCAGACUCCUACGGGAGGCAGCAGUAGGGAAUCUUCCGCAAUGGACGAAAGUCUGACGGAGCAACGCCGCGUGAGUGAUGAAGGUUUUCGGAUCGUAAAGCUCUGUUGUUAGGGAAGAACAAGUGCCGUUCAAAUAGGGCGGCACCUUGACGGUACCUAACCAGAAAGCCACGGCUAACUACGUGCCAGCAGCCGCGGUAAUACGUAGGUGGCAAGCGUUGUCCGGAAUUAUUGGGCGUAAAGGGCUCGCAGGCGGUUUCUUAAGUCUGAUGUGAAAGCCCCCGGCUCAACCGGGGAGGGUCAUUGGAAACUGGGGAACUUGAGUGCAAAAGAGGAGAGUGGAAUUCCACGUGUAGCGGUGAAAUGCGUAGAGAUGUGGAGGAACACCAAUGGCGAAGGCGACUCUCUGGUCUGUAACUGACGCUGAGGAGCGAAAGCGUGGGGAGCGAACAGGAUUA
rnacentral:rRNA from 1 species